ACUAGUAGAAAAGGAAAAGCAAGUUACGAC
rnacentral:piRNA from 1 species